rfam:Aedes aegypti strain Liverpool supercont1.297 genomic scaffold, whole genome shotgun sequence.
CAAUCGGCCCUUUUCAGGGCCAAAAAUGUGUACUAAAGUUUUGUUU